rnacentral:lncRNA from 1 species
GAAUUAAAGAAUCAUUUGAACAACGGACUGUCCCUAGCACAAGUGGCAAAAGGAUUUGAUAGUUAGUAUCUGAGACCCAUGAUCGAAUCCUAAAUAAUUCACAUUUUCUACUAAAUUUAUUUCUAAAUAAAAUAAACGAAACAUGUAGUAUAUUAUUUUUCUCUCAAAAAAAAAAAAUCAUUUGAACGGUACAUCCAAUUUACAU